rnacentral:rRNA from 1 species
GACGAACGCUGGCGGCGUGCCUAAUACAUGCAAGUAGAACGCAGAAGGAGGGGCUUGCUUCUCUGGAUGAGUUGCGCACGGGUGAGUAACGCGUAGGUAACCUGCCUGGUAGCGGGGGAUAACUAUUGGAAACGAUAGCUAAUACCGCAUAAGAGUAAAUGUUGCAUGACGUUUGCUUAAAAGGUGCAAUUGCAUCACUACCAGAUGGACCUGCGUUGGAUUAGGUAGUUGGUGAGGUAACGGCUUAACAAAGCGACGAUUCAUAGCCGACCUUGGAGGGGGGUCGGCCAACCCGGGACCGGGAACCCGCCCAGACUUCCUAGGGGAGCAGCAAUAGGGAAACCUUGGCAAUGGGCGGAAGUCUGAACGGGCCACGCCGCGUGGGGGAAGAAGGGUUUCGGAUCGUAAAGACCUGUUGUAAGGGAAGAACGAGUGUUGGAGUGAAAAAUGCACGCUGUGACGGUACCUAACCAGAAAGCGACGGCUAACUACGUG